rnacentral:ncRNA from 1 species
AUACAGGUUAGACAAAAGAGUAGUAACAUGAUUUUCUCUUUUCAGAGAGCUGAUGGUGCUGUGAAUCAGUAAGGAAAAUGAUGCGAAUGGACUUUUGAACCGAGAUUUUGAAGCUCAGUAGGAAUCUCCGGGAACUCCCGUUACAGAGAAAGGCUGUUGUUAGACAGCUGAUAGAGAGAUGCUUUUUAAGCAUAUAUUGAGGUGGCACCGUGGAUUAACCGCCCUCAAG